ensembl:snoRNA
AAGGCUAUACUUUUAGGGAUCAUUUCUAUAGUGCGUUACUAGAGAAGUUUCUCUGAACGUGUAGAGCACCCGAAACCACGAGGAGGAAGUACAGUGUUCCCUUCCUGAGCGUGAAACCGGCUUUUGGUGUUACUGUAUGUGACUUCCACUGGCUCUUGAUGAUCGUUCUUGUUUUCUACUUUAGGAAACAAGAGGGAAGGGGCGCUGUCUGAGUGGUU